GUGCUCACUUCAGCAGCACACACACUGAAAUGAGAACAUACAGAGAAGAUCAGCAUGGCUGCUGUGUGAGAAUGAGAUGCACAUUCCUGAAGCGUUCCAUAUUUUU